rnacentral:misc_RNA from 1 species
AAAGUCGUAACAAGGUUUCCGUAGGUGAACCUGCGGAAGGAUCAUUACAGAGUUCAUGCCCUUCGGGGUAGAUCUCCCACCCUUUGUGUAUUAUAUCAUAUGUUGCUUUGGCGGGCUUACCCCCGCCAGAGGACCACAACUCUGUGUUUAGUGUCGUCUGAGUACUAUAAAAUAGUUAAAACUUUCAACAACGGAUCUCUUGGUUCUG